UCAAGGUCGCAUUUGACCAGCCGCAGGCAGCAGCUGGGCCCAGAGGGCCAGGAGCCCCAGGAGGAGGACGAUGGCCUCUGACUUCAUGGUGCUGCCGGGAGCUGG